rnacentral:rRNA from 1 species
UACGUAGGGUGCAAGCGUUGUCCGGAAUUAUUGGGCGUAAAGAGCUUGUAGGCGGUUUGUCGCGUCUGCUGUGAAAUUUCGGGGCUCAACCCCGAACUUGCAGUGGGUACGGGCAGACUAGAGUGUGGUAGGGGAGACUGGAAUUCCUGGUGUAGCGGUGAAAUGCGUAGAUAUCGAGAGGAACACCUGCGGCGAAGGCGGGUUGCUGGGCUGACACUGACGCUGAUUGUGCGAAAGCUAGGGGAGCGAACGGG